rnacentral:rRNA from 1 species
AUGGCCAUGGAGGCGACUCUUGUCAGCGUGGCCACAGGGGUCCUCAUACCUGUCCUGGGAAAGUUAUCCACUUUGCUUGGUAACGAGUACAAGCGGUUCAAGGGUGUGCGCAAGGAGAUCAGGUCCCUUACUCAUGAGCUUGGUGCCAUGGAGGCUUUUCUCCUCAAGAUGUCCGAGGAAGAGGAUCCCGAUUCGCGGGAUAAAGUUUGGAUGAAUGAGGUGCGAGAAUUAUCCUACGACAUGGAGGAUGCCAUUGACGACUUCAUGCAAAGCGUUGAUGACAAAGACGAAAAGCCAAAUGGCUUCAUCGAGAAGAUCAAGAACUCACUAGGGAAGUUGGGGAAGAUGAAGGCUCGCCGUCGGAUUGGCAAAGAGAUUCAGGAUCUAAAGAAACAAAUAGUUGAGGUGGGCGACAGGAAUGCAAGAUACAAGAGUCGCGAGCCCUUCUCCAAGACCGUCAAUGCGACCAUUGACCCUAGAGCUCUUGCUAUAUUUGAGCAUGCAUCGAAUCUUGUUGGAAUCGAUGAGCCCAAGGCAGAGAUAAUCAAGCUGUUAAUAGAAGAGGUUGUUCGUGCUUCAGAGCAACAACAACAACUGAAGAUAGUCUCCAUUGUUGGAUCUGGAGGUAUGGGCAAGACAACUCUUGCAAACCAAGUGUAUCAAGAGCUAAAAGGAAAAUAUGAGUGUUGGGCUUUCGUCUCAGUUUCACGAAAUCCAGACAUGAUGAAUAUUUUGAGAACUAUUCUAAGUGAAGUGGCUAAGAAAGAUUAUGCUACCACUGAAUCAGGGGAUAUACAACAACUCAUUAUCAAGAUCAUAGAUUUUCUAGCAAACAAAAGGUACUUUGUUGUUGUUGACGAUAUAUGGGACAUGGAUACAUGGGAUAUUAUUAAGUGUGCAUUCCCCGCUAGAAGUUCUACCAGUAGAAUCAUCACCACCACUCGUAUGAACAGUGUCGCUAAUUUAUGUUGUUCGUCAUUCAAUGGUCAUAUUUACAAUAUAAGGGCUCUUGAUAUGGUGCACUCAAGACAAUUAUUUCACAUCAGAUUAUUUAAGUCCGAUGAAGAUUGCCCUGCACACCUUCAAGAAAUUUCUGAGCAGAUAUUGGAAAAAUGCGAUGGGUUACCUUUGGCGAUCAUUGCUAUAUCUGGUUUGUUGGCUAACACCGAAAGAACAGAAAAUAUAUGGAAUCAAGUAAAAGAUUCAAUUGGUCGUGCACUUGAAAGGAAUCCCAACGUUGAAGGAAUGAUGAAGAUUUUGUCACUUAGUUACUUUGAUCUUCCCGCUCAUCUAAAAACUUGCCUCUUAUAUCUAAGCAUGUAUCUAGAAGAUUCUACUGUUGAGAAGAAGGGCCUGAUAAGAAGAUGGAUUGUUGAAGGAUUCAUUCUUGGAGAAGGCAGAUACACGGCAUAUGAGUUAGGAGAAAGGUGUUUUAAUGAACUACUCAAUAGGGGUUUGAUCCAGCCUGUGGAGACAGAUGACUACGGCGAGGUGAAUAGUUGUCGAGUUCAUGACACAAUUCUUGAUUUCAUCAUAUCCAAGUCUAUAGAAGAGAACUUCAUUACUUUACGUGGUGUUCCCAUUCUGACAAUUGGGAACCAAAGCAAAGUUGUUCGUCGACUCUGUCUACAAGGUGUAAAGGAAGGAAAUUCAACUGUACUGACAGAAGGUCUCGUGUUGUCCCAUGUCCGAUCACUUACUGUGGUUAGAGGUCUCGUGAAAAUCUUUUCUUUUGAGGAGUUUAGACAUCUGCGUGUUCUCCACUUGAUGGGUUGCUCUGAAUUGGAUGAUCAUCAUCUUGAAAAUAUAAUGAGGUUGUUCCAGCUGAGGUACCUGAACCUCCAAGGUACAGGAAUAAGCAAGCUCCCGGAACAAAUUGGGCGUUUAGUGUGCUUAGAGAUACUCAAUCUAACACGUACUUAUGUACGGGGAUUACCUGCAUCUAUUGUUAAUCUCGGAAAAUUGUUGCAUCUACGUGUUGAUCAUGAUGUGAAAUUUCCUAAUGGGAUUGCAAAGAUGCAAGCACUGGAGACGUUGGGAUAUGUGAAGGUCUCCAUUCAGCCAAUUGACUUCGUGUGUGGCCUUGGCCAACUAAAGAAUUUGAGGAAUCUGCAGCUUGACCUUACUUUCGAAGGCGAUUGUGACAUUGAGGAUAGGGAUGUGGUUGGUGAGGAACGCAAGAAAGCUAUAGUCUCUUCAUUGUGUAAGCUAGGCACCCAGAACCUCCGCUCCUUGAGUAUUUGGUGUGGGAGCAGCCUCUUACAGGGACCUUUGUGCCUGCCUACCCUUGAGAAACUUACUACCGGGUCUUCGGCUGUCCCGCAGAUUCCGACAUGGUUGAGCUCCUCUAGAAACCUCCAACUGCUAUGGAUUGAAGUUGAGGUAGUCAAGCAGGACGAUCUCUGCAUACUUGGGGCCUUACCCAGUUUGCUCGUUCUGCAUCUGGAAGAAGCAGCAAAGUCAAAAGAAAAGCUCAGAAUCAGUGGUGAAGUUGGGUUCCAACUAUUGAGGAUUUUCAUUUAUGAUGCAUCUGAUGAACCAGUAGAUCUGAUAUUUGGGGUAGGGUCCAUGCCCAAGCUAGAAAAACUCGAGCUUCGUUAUUUGUGUGCAGUUGAAGCUGACUGUCUGGACUUUGGAAUCGGGAACCUCCCCUGCCUUAGUAUCAUCAAAUUUAUUGGUGUUGGUGGUGACUAUGACAUUGUUGAAGCAGUGAAGAUUGCCAUGAAGAGAGCAGCCAGCGCACAUCUCAACCACCCUAGUCUACACUUUUUAGAAGAAUAA